GGAAGGAUCAUUACUGAGUUGUCGACAUGAGCUGUUGCUGGCCCUCAGACAUGGGGGCAUGUGCACGCUCUGUUCAUACAUCCACUCACACCUGUGCACCCACCGUAGUUCUAUGGUCUGGGGGACAUCUGUCUCCCUCCCUGUAGAUCCACGUCUUUACACGUACACCGUAGCAAAGUCUUAUGGAAUGUGUGCCGCGUUUAACGCAAUACAAUACAACUUUCAGCAACGGAUCUCUUGGCUCUCGCAUCGAUGAAGAACGCAGCGAAAUGCGAUAAGUAAUGUGAAUUGCAGAAUUCAGUGAAUCAUCGAAUCUUUGAACGCACCUUGCGCCCCUUGGCUAUUCCGAGGGGCAUGCCUGUUUGAGUAUCACGAACACCUCAACUCUUGCGGUUUGCCGUGAUGAGCUUGGACUUUUGGGGGUUUUGCUGGCCACGGUCGGCUCCUCUGAAAUGGAUCAGCUUGCCAGUGUUUGGUGGCGUCAUGGGUGUGAUAACUAUCUACGCUUGUGAUAGCUCGCCAAGUAACCUUCAGAGAUGGAGGUUUGCUGGAGCUUAUAAAUGUCUCUCCUCUCAGUGAAGACAGCUUUUUGACCGUUUGAUCUCAAAUCAGGUAGGAUUACCCGCUGAACUUAAGCAUAUCAAUAAGCGGAGGAA
rnacentral:sRNA from 1 species